ensembl:rRNA 5S_rRNA 5S ribosomal RNA
GCUUACGGCCAUACCACCCUGAACACGCCCGAUCUCGUCUGAUCUCGGAAGCUAAGCAGGGUCGGGCCUGGUCAGUACUUGGAUGGGAGACCGCCUGGGAAUACCAGGUGCUGUAAGCC